CUCAUUAAAUCAGUUAUAGUUUAUUUGAUGGUCUCUUUUGUCUUUUUUUUACCUACUUGGAUAACCGUGGUAAUUCUAGAGCUAAUACAUGCGCAAGGUCCCGAGCGCGGGGGGCGGGGCUUCACGGCUCUGUUCUCGCAUGCGCAGAGGGAUGUAUUUAUUAAGGUUAAAAACCAGCGUAGCCAGCAAUGGCUACUCAAUCUCCUGGUGAUUCAUAGUAACUCUUUCGGAUCGCAUUCAUG
rnacentral:rRNA from 1 species